rnacentral:rRNA from 1 species
GACGGAGGGCGCAAGCGUUGUUCGGAAUCACUGGGCAUAAAGAGUACGUAGGCGGUCUGCUAAGUCAGAUGUGAAAGCCCUGGGCUUAACCCGGGAACUGCAUUUGAUACUGGCAGACUUGAGGACAGCAGGGGUGAGUGGAACUUCAGGUGGAACGGUGAAAUGUGUAGAUAUCUGAAGGAACACCGGUGGCGAAAGCGGCUCACUGGGCUGUCUCUGACGCUGAGGUACGAAAGCUAGGGUAGCGAACGGGAUUAGAAACCCUAGUAGUCC